UCUCCCUCUCUCUAAAAUAAAUAAAUCUUCUUUAGAAAGAGAGAGAGAGGGGAGUAUCUGAAAAGAGCAUUUCAUGAGAUUCGUUUUCUGUGAAAUACAUUUUGCAAUUUAUUACUUUGCCUAAUUAUAAUCUAUCUCUUUAACUGGUCCAUAAGGUCUCGAAUGGCAGAUGCCUGGCCUCUUCUUUAGAGAUCAUAUUCAUCCAAUGCAUACGACCCCACAGGCACAGGCCUGGGAGGAGCUCAUAUAGGUGAGUGAGCCCAAGCCACUGUGAGGCUCUCUGUAGCUGCCACCUGCUUCUGUGAGGAUCACCCCUGGACGCCUUUAGCUGCACCCUGCACACCAAGUCUGCCAGACUCUUCCAGGUGCUGCGAUCUCCACUAAACAGAAAGCGACUGCUGAGAAACUCUAGACUGCUGCCCACCCAAAUGACUGUCACUACAAUAAUACCAAAAUCCUGGGCAGCUCUUUCUUUCCCUCCAACUUUGACUCUAAAACAGAAAACAUGGAAACGAUGAUCAUCAAGGCCCAUCACCACCACAGAAGGCGCCUGAGGUAUUUGAUCGGUGGCAUCUUAUACCCUCUCCAGGACCCCAGUUGGUGGAGACAGAGUCCUAGAGUGCCUGAAAUUGGAAGAAUAAUAGGCUUACAUUGCAGAAUGAGUCACCCACUCCAACAGCUUCUUUGGUAACUUAUCCACACAAUAUCCAGUAACAAAAGAUCUACAUCUAGUAAGAUAUUAGAAAUAGAAAUGGAAACAAACUUACUCACAGCUGCCUUGAUCUGGGAAUUCCUGCUUGGUCUUGUUUGCAAAGCACAGCUUUUACUUUAUCACUCCUUGACUGCCUCUCCACCUUUCUAGUAGUUUCUCAAGAGGCCACAGGUUUAUAAAUUACAAACAUGAGUAUGCAUCACAGAAAUUGACAAUAGUAAAAGUUUCCAGAGAUAGUAGGGUCUGAUAUGACGAUACCAUCUAAAAAUUUUAAAUUGCUUUCCCUAAAGUGGAACUAAAAUUCAGGGAGAAACAGCUUUGCCAAGCCAGAUUUACCUUGAAACAUUCCCAUUCAGGUCCAGUGCAUCACAGCAUGCCAUCCCUAAGAAGAGCAGAACUUUGUCCUGUCACACACGAAUUGAUGGCAUGAUAAAUAAUAGAAUCUUAGAGUAAAAUGUGGCCUUCGAAGUCAUUGCAUCCAGCUUCUCACUCAAUGUAAAAAUUGCUUAAAAAAAUUCCACAGAAGAUGCUUUGUAUGAGUAACACUUCUAGAAAGUCAACUCAACUGUUUCUUGAAUCCCUCCAAUGUAAUCACUGGAUGCACAACAAAGUUGUUGGCAAAGUUGGAUGCAAAAGUCUCACGACCGUCAGUCAACAGAGAAACUUUGCCUUACCUCUUGGUUUGCUACCAGAUGCCAAUCCUGAAAAGACGUUGGCAUGGAGAAACACACCAAAUCUGGAAGAACAUGGCUGACCUUAUCCUCAGUGCCUCCCAGUGGCACCACUCACACUGAAUCCAAUGAUCUUCAGAGCACUGAUGUGCCAUGGCUCAUGGAAUUCCCUUUGCCAGUCACCCAGACACAUCCUGACAAUUUAAGCCCUGGAUGCCCCAUGAAACACAUUUUAGCCCUUGAAAAUUACCUCAAACAUUGCCCAAUUUCUCAACUCAAAAGUGCCAAUAGAGCAAAACAAAACUACCCUUCUUUGGGGGUCCUUUAUCAUAUUCAUCGCUCACACUGUUCACAUGGCCAUUUAUAAGGUGCAACUAUGGCUAUCCUUUUACUGUCCCUCUCAUUCCCUACUGGAGAACUGGAGCAGGCAGGAGCACCCCAGCAACGGUGUAUGGACGGGGCUGGGGACGAUGCAAUGUGUUUGCACGUUCCCUCCCUGAACCUGCUGUGAAAUUUGCAAAGAUUCACACCCUUGCAGUGCCCACAGGACUGGUACCCAAGUCUGAAGUCCCUCUCUGCUCCACCCACCACCCCGCCCCCAUUUCCCCUCAUACUGAUAAAGUUCAUCCAAGUAGGCAGUUUUUAUCACAGUAAGAAACUUGAAAUAUUUAUAUGCAGUACCAAGUGCAGGGAGGGGGAGGAACAUGUCCCUUAUGGAAAAAAUAAAUGUGGCUUGCCACAACAUGCCAGUAAAUGUCCUCACACAAGUUAGCUGUCACAUUUACCAUGAAGUACCAAAAUCAAAGGCUAUGUCCAUCUUAUAUUUUCUUGCUGCUAAGAAAACAAGUUCCUGUUCCUUCUCUCAGGAAAGAGGGUGAUGAAAGCCUGGAUUAAACACACAGAAAUAGAGGUGUGGGGGGUGACUUCCGAUCUCACGGAGGGACCUAUGCCCCAUCUCAGCUUUGAGCUAGUGUCUCUGCUGCUGAAGAUGGUGUGGACUCGAACCCCUCUGCUAGCCUGCCUCCCCACGCUCCUCUGCCCCCUUUGCGUCUUGACUGUGUUCCAGCUCUAAGCAGGUUUUCUUUCCUCAGUGUUACCCAAAAGGCACCCACACUUUGAAGGGAGAGAGAGAGAGGAGAGGGGAAGGAGUGAGAGAGGAUCUGAAAGAGAGAGAAUAGAAGGACACACCUCUCUCCCGGGGAGCAGAGAAGCCGGACCAAAGCCCAGCUCUUUCUCACCUUUUUGCCAUUCACGAAGAAAACCAAUUCGUCAGCUGUCAUUGUUGCCGGUCAGGUCCCUGAAUCCAGGUGUCUCACUCCCCAAGAGGCACUAACACGUAUUGCUGCUCAGCAACUUGAAAAAUACACUUCCCAAUGAAGUGAAACUUGGCCGGCCAAUGGAAAGAGAGCAGCCUAGAGCUUCAGGGCACAGAGAGUUCUUGGCAAAAGCCACCAGUUUACAUAAUCAAGGAAAAUGCAAACAAUCAUACAUAGGAAGGCACACUCCCAACAUCUGUCACAAAGAACACAGACGAAAGGCCCAGACAGAUACCAGCCAGGGGAUGACCUGUGUGGUCUUCAGCACCACCCUCAGGGAACCUGCUUCGUCGCCCCCCUGCCCAAGGCAGAGAAGGAAGAAGGGCUGUGGGCAGAGCCACAGCAAGAGAAAUGAUUCACACCUUUGCCCUCUCCACUUGUCAUUUUGCCAUUCAGGUUUACAGCAACCCACCCCUUACACAGAUGCCUCAUUCACACACAGCUGGGACGAAUACAGAGGUCCCCAGCCCUGGAGCCCAGUGACCCAGAACCAAAACCUGGCCAUUUGACCUCAGCAUUGUUGUUUUCAGGACGCAGUGGGUUUCAUCCUGUAAAUGGGCGUAUGAAUGGCCCCAAGAGCAGAAGCUGGACAGACAAACGAAUUUCAUAGUGUUUUGCACUGUAUUGGUGUGUGAGGCCUUAAAUCCGAAGAAAAGCCAAAUAGGCCCGGAGGACUCCUGGACAGAAGCUUCUUCCCUCCUGGAACAAUGCUUGCAGAAAAUUCCUGGGAUAACACUCACAGGAAAUUCCUGGAACACUUGCAGGAAAUUGCUAGAACUAAGAAUGAAAAGAUAGCAGAGAACAGAGUCUUUAUUUCUGGAACAGUGAACUCCCUUGGGGUCAAGCACUCCCUGGAGGAAAAACAAUUCAGGAGAACUUUUGGAAUGUUCUCCAGAGGCCUGGUCAGGGCCCGGUGACAGCUGUCGAGCCUUUCCUGCUUUGGAGCUGAUGUUUUGGUGAGCAGCACACAUCCUGGCAGCUUCUGGUGCGUCCUGGCAGUUCCUGACAGAUGCUGCAGAAGACUCCUGCCAGCUCUGAACCGGCUUUGGCUGCAGUGCUCUUGGGGGCUCCUUCCCUUGCUUUACAUCUGAAUUUGCAUUUUUACCUGUACCCCACAGCAUUUUCUGUUCAUUUUCUUCACUCACAAAAAAGUUUCACUUAAAAAGGAAAAAAAUCACUUUUCUUUCA